rnacentral:rRNA from 1 species
AGCAGUAGCCGCGGUAAUACGGAGGGCGCGAGCGUUACCCGGAUUUACUGGGCGUAAAGGGCGUGUAGGCGGCCUGGGGCGUCCCAUGUGAAAGGCCACGGCUCAACCGUGGAGGAGCGUGGGAUACGCUCAGGCUAGAGGGUGGGAGAGGGUGGUGGAAUUCCCGGAGUAGCGGUGAAAUGCGCAGAUACCGGGAGGAACGCCGAUGGCGAAGGCAGCCACCUGGUCCACUUCUGACGCUGAGGCGCGAAAGCGUGGGGAGCAAACCGGAUUAGAUACGCGUAGUCCCUGUCUCUUAUACAC